rnacentral:rRNA from 1 species
UAGGGAAUCUUCCGCAAUGGGCGAAAGCCUGACGGAGCAACGCCGCGUGAGUGAUGAAGGUCUUCGGAUCGUAAAACUCUGUUAUUAGGGAAGAACAAAUGUGUAAGUAACUAUGCACGUCUUGACGGUACCUAAUCAGAAAGCCACGGCUAACUACGUGCCAGCAGCCGCGGUAAUACGUAGGUGGCAAGCGUUAUCCGGAAUUAUUGGGCGUAAAGCGCGCGUAGGCGGUUUUUUAAGUCUGAUGUGAAAGCCCACGGCUCAACCGUGGAGGGUCAUUGGAGACUGGAAAACUUGAAUGCAGAAGAGGAAAGUGGAAUUCCAUGUGUAGCGGUGAAAUGCGCAGAGAUAUGGAGGAACACCAGUGGCGAAGGCGACUUUCGGGUCUGUAACUGACGCUGAUGUGCGAAAGCGUGGGGAUCAAACAGG